rnacentral:rRNA from 1 species
UGGGGAAUAUUGGGCAAUGGGGCGAAAGCCUGACCCAGCGACGCCGCGUGAGGGAAGAAGGUCUUCGGAUUGUAAACCUUUGUAGACAGGGACGAAGAAAUGACGGUACCUGUAAAGUAAGCCACGGCUAACUACGUGCCAGCAGCCGCGGUAAUACGUAGGUGGCAAGCGUUAUCCGGAUUUAUUGGGUGUAAAGGGUGAGUAGGCGGGCUGACAAGUCAGAUGUGAAAUGUUCGGGCUUAACCUGAGAACUGCAUUUGAAACUGCCAGUCUUGAGUGUCGGAGGGGUAAUCGGAAUUCCCGGUGU